rnacentral:rRNA from 1 species
UACGGAGGGUGCAAACGUUGCUCGGAAUCACUGGGCGUAAAGCGCACGUAGGCGGCUCUGUAAGUCGGAUGUGAAAGCCCUCGGCUCAACCGAGGAAGUGCAUUCGAAACUGCAGGGCUUGAGUAUGGAAGAGGGUCGCGGAAUUCCCGGUGUAGAGGUGAAAUUCGUAGAUAUCGGGAGGAACACCAGUGGCGAAGGCGGCGACCUGGGCCAAUACUGACGCUGAGGUGCGAAAGCGUGGGGAGCAAACAGG